rnacentral:rRNA from 1 species
AACGAACGCUGGCGGCAGGCUUAACACAUGCAAGUCGAGCGCCCCGCAAGGGGAGCGGCAGACGGGUGAGUAACGCGUGGGAAUCUACCCAUCUCUACGGAAUAACGCAUGGAAACGUGUGCUAAUACCGUAUACGUCCUUCGGGAGAAAGAUUUAUCGGAGAUGGAUGAGCCCGCGUUGGAUUAGCUAGUUGGUGGGGGAAAGGCCUACCAAGGCGACGAUCCAUAGCUGGUCUGGGAGGAUGAUCAGCCACACUGGGACUGAGACACGGCCCAGACGCCUACGGGAGGCAGCAGGGUGGAAUAUUGGACAAUGGGCGCAAGCCUGAUCCAGCCAUGCAGCGUGAGUGAUGAAGGCCCUAGGGUUGGAAAGCUCUCUCACCGGUGAAGAUAAUGACGGUAACCGGAGAAGAAGACCCGGCUAACUUCGUGCCAGCCGCCGCAGUAACAC